rnacentral:rRNA from 1 species
CAAGUUGAUCCUGCCAGUAGUCAUAUGCUUGUCAGAAAGAUUAAGCCAUGCAUGUGUAAGUAUGAAUUAAUUCAGACUGUGAAACUACAAAUGGCUAAUUAAAUCAGUUAUAGUUUAUUUUAUGGUACCUGCUACUCGGAUACCCAUAGUAAUUCUAGAGCUAAUAUGUGUAACAAACCUUAACUUUUAGAAGGGAUGCAUUUAUUAGAUAAAAGGUCAACAUGGGCUUUAUCUAUUGCUGCGAUGAUUCAUGAUAACUCAACGGAUCGCACGACCCUCGUGUCGGCGACGCAUCAUUCAAAUUUUUGCCCUAUCAACUUUCGAUAGUUGGAUAGUGGCCUACUAUGGUGGUGAUGGGUGAUAGAGAAUUAGGGUUUGAUUCUAGAGAGCGAGCCUAAGAAACAACUACCACUUCCAAGGAAAACAACAGGCGUGCAAAUUACCCAAUCCUGACACGGGGAGGUAGUGACAAUAAAUAACAAUACCGGGCUUUGAGAGUCUGGUAAUUGAAAUGAGUACAAUCUAAAUCCCUUAACGAGGAUCCAGUGGAGGGCAAGUCUAGUGCCAGCAGCCGCGGUAAUUCCAGCUCCAAUAGCGUAUAUUUAAGUUAUUGCAGUUAAAAAGCUCGUAGUUUGACCUUAGGUUGGGUUGGCCGGUCUGCCUAUGGUGUGCACUGGUCGUCUCGUCCCUUCUGUUGAUGAUGUAAUCCUGGCCUUAACUGGUCAGGUCAUGCCUUCAUCUCUGUUACUUUAAAGAAAUUAGAGUGCUCAAAGCAAGCCUACUCUUACAUCCUACACGGUUGUGAUCGAUUCGUCCA